UGCCAGCAGCCGCGGUAAGACGAAGGUGGCGAGCGUUAUUCGGAUUUACUGGGCAUAAAGCGCGCGUAGGCGGCCGGGUCAGUCGGAGGUGAAAGUCCGCAGCUCAACUGCGGAAUUGCCCCCGAUACUGCCUGGCUUGAGUGCAGGAGGGGUGACUGGAACUCCAGGUGUAGCGGUGAAAUGCGUAGAUAUCUGGAGGAACACCGGAGGCGAAGGCGGGUCACUGGACUGCAACUGACGCUGAGGUGCGAAAGCUAGGGGAGCGAACAGGAUUAGAUA
rnacentral:rRNA from 1 species